rnacentral:tRNA from 1 species
UCAGAUAUAGCUCAGUUGGUAGAGUGCUUGCCUUGCAUGCACAAGGCCCUGGGUUCAAUCCCCAGUACCACAA